rnacentral:rRNA from 1 species
UUUUUAUAAAAUUUUAUUUUUUAGUCAAAAAGCUAAAAUAAAUUUAAAAGACGAGAAGACCCUAUAAAUCUUUAUAUUUUAUUUAUUUUAAUUAUAAAGAUUAUUUUUAUUAUAAUAAAUUAAAAUAUUUUAUUGGGGUGAUAUUAAAAUUUAAAAAACUUUUAAUUUAAAAACCAUUAAUUUAUGAAUAAUUGAUCCAUUAAUAAUGAUUAAAAAUUUAAGUUACUUUAGGGAUAACAGCGUAAUUUUUUU